rnacentral:misc_RNA from 1 species
GAGCGUGGGUCCCCUGUGGCCCCCCUUUCCCGGGGGGGCCCGGGGUUGACCCUAGACCUCCCACCCUUGUCGAUUGUACCGUGUUGCUUCGGCGGGCCCGCCAUUGGCCGCCGGGGGGCUCGUGACUUGUGCGCGUUGCCCCCGGGCCCGUGCCCGCCGGAGACCUCCCUCGAAAUGCUACUGUGGUCUGAAAUGCUGUCUGAGUGGGAAUGAUGUGAGAAAUUGAUCAGUCAAAACUUUCAACAAUGGAUCUCUUGGUUCC